AACGUAGGACACAAGCGUUAUCCGGAGUUACUGGGCGUAAAGGGCGUGCAGGCGGUUUCUUAAGUCAGGCGUGAAACCAUUCGGCUAAACCGGGUGUAGUCGUCUGAGACUGGGAGACUAGAGUGUGGUAGAGGCGUGUAGAAUUCCGGGUGUAGUGGUGAAAUGCGUAGAUAUCCGGAGGAAUACCAGUGGCGAAGGCGGCACGCUGGGCCAUAACUGACGCUGAGGAGCGAAAGCGUGGGGAGCGAACAGG
rnacentral:rRNA from 1 species